AGAGCGAACGCUGGCGGCAGGCUUAACACAUGCAAGUCGAACGCGUGUAGCAAUACACGAGUGGCGCACGGGUGAGUAACGCGUGGGCAUCUGCCUCAUGGUUCGGAAUAACCCCGGGAAACUGGGGCUAAUACCGGAUGGUACCUUCGGGUUAAAGAUUUAUCGCCAUGAGAUGAGCCCGCGUCCGAUUAGCUAGUUGGUGAGGUAACGGCUCACCAAGGCGACGAUCGGUAGCUGGUCUGAGAGGACGAUCAGCCACACUGGGACUGAGACACGGCCCAGACUCCUACGGGAGGCAGCAGUGGGGAAUAUUGGACAAUGGGGGCAACCCUGAUCCAGCCAUGCCGCGUGAGUGAUGAAGGCCUUCGGGUUGUAAAGCUCUUUUAGCGGGGACGAUGAUGACGGUACCCGCAGAAUAAGCCCGGCUAACUUCGUGCCAGCAGCCGC
rnacentral:rRNA from 1 species